rnacentral:rRNA from 1 species
AACGAACGCUGGCGGCAUGCCUAACACAUGCAAGUCGAGCGAGACCUUCGGGUCUAGUGGCGCACGGGUGCGUAACGCGUGGGAACCUGCCCUUAGGUUCGGAAUAACUCCCCGAAAGGGGUGCUAAUACCGGAUAAUGUCUUCGGACCAAAGAUUUAUCGCCUUUGGAUGGGCCCGCGUUGGAUUAGCUAGUUGGUAGGGUAAAAGCCUACCAAGGCGACGAUCCAUAGCCGGUCUGAGAGGAUGAUCAGCCACACUGGGACUGAGACACGGCCCAGACUCCUACGGGAGGCAGCAGUGGGGAAUAUUGGACAAUGGGCGAAAGCCUGAUCCAGCAAUGCCGCGUGAGUGAUGAAGGCCUUAGGGUUGUAAAGCUCUUUUACCCGGGAUGAUAAUGACAGUACCGGGAGAAUAAGCUCCGGCUAACUCCGUG